AUUGAGCGCUGGCGGCAUGCCUUACACAUGCAAGUCGAACGUGAAAGCGGGGCAACCCGCAAGUAGAGUGGCGGACGGGUGAGUAAUACAUCGGAACGUGUCCAGUAAUGGGGGAUAACCUAGCGAAAGUUAGGCUAAUACCGCAUACGAUCUGCGGAUGAAAGCGGGGGAUGCGGCACUAAAGCUUUUGGUGAAGGUCGCCAAAGGCAGGUCAAGAGCUUUUAGUGCNGCACCUCGCGUUAUUGGAGCGGCUGAUGUCUGAUUAGCUAGUUGGUGAGGUAAGGCUUACCAAGGCGACGAUCAGUAGCUGGU
rnacentral:rRNA from 1 species